GCAGCAGUGGGGAAUAUUGCACAAUGGGCGCAAGCCUGAUGCAGCCAUGCCGCGUGUGUGAAGAAGGCCUUCGGGUUGUAAAGCACUUUCACUCAGGAGGAAAGGUUAGUAGUUAAUACCUGCUAGCUGUGACGUUACUGACAGAAGAAGCACCGGCUAACUCCGUGCCAGCAGCCGCGGUAAUACGGAGGGUGCGAGCGUUAAUCGGAAUUACUGGGCGUAAAGCGUACGCAGGCGGUUUGUUAAGCGAGAUGUGAAAGCCCCGGGCUCAACCUGGGAACUGCAUUUCGAACUGGCAAACUAGAGUGUGAUAGAGGGUGGUAGAAUUUCAGGUGUAGCGGUGAAAUGCGUAGAGAUCUGAAGGAAUACCGAUGGCGAAGGCAGCCACCUGGGUCAACACUGACGCUCAUGUACGAAAGCGUGGGGAGCAAACAGGAUUAGAUACCCUGGUAGUCCACGCCGUAAACGAUGUCUACUAGAAGCUCGGAGCCUCGGCUCUGUUUUUCAAAGCUAACGCAUUAAGUAGACCGCCUGGGGAGUACGGCCGCAAGGUUAAAACUCAAAUGAAUUGACGGGGGCCCGCACAAGCGGUGGAGCAUGUGGUUUAAUUCGAUGCAACGCGAAGAACCUUACCUACACUUGACAUACAGAGAACUUACCAGAGAUGGUUUGGUGCCUUCGGGAACUCUGAUACAGGUGCUGCAUGGCUGUCGUCAGCUCGUGUU
rnacentral:rRNA from 1 species